rnacentral:lncRNA from 1 species
AUGUCUGCUGAGGCAUGGGCUGAGGCUGAGGGUACAGGGGCGGGAAGACUGCCUGCUGGGGCACCUGCGGAUGGAGGUACAGGGGCGGGAAGACUGCCUGCUGGGGCACCUGCGGAUGGAGGUACAGGGGCGGGAAGACUGCCUGCUGGGGCACCUGCGGAUGGAGGUACAGGGGCGGGAAGACUGCCUGCUGGGGCACCUGCGGAUGGAGGUACAGGGGCGGGAAGACUGCCUGCUGGGGCACCUGCGGAUGGAGGUACAGGGGCGGGAAGACUGCCUGCUGGGGCACCUGCGGAUGGAGGUACAGGGGCGGGAAGACUGCCUGCUGGGGCACCUGCGGAUGGAGGUACAGGGGCGGGAAGACUGCCUGCUGGGGCACCUGCGGAUGGAGGUACAGGGGCGGGAAGACUGCCUGCUGGGGCACCUGCGGAUGGGGGUGCAGGGAUGGAAAGACAGCCUGCUGGGGAACCUGUGGAUGGGGGUACUGGGGCAGAAAGGCAGCCUGCUGAGGGCCCUGUGGUGGCUGAGGAUGCAGGGGUGGGAAGCCUUUCUGCUGCAUUGCCAGAGGCAGAGAGUGUGAAUGCAAACCAGUUUGCUGGGGUACCUGAUGUGGAUGCUGUGGAUGUAAACCAGUCUGCUUUGUCACCUGAAGUUGAAAGUGUGGAUGCAAACUGGUUUGCUGGGUCACCUGAAAUAGACUGGGUAGAUGGUGUGGAUGUAAACCAGUCUGCUGGGUCACCUGAAAUAGACUGGGUAGAUGGUGUGGAUGUAAACCAGUCUGCCGGGUCACCUGAAAUAGACUGGGUAGAUGGUGUGGAUGCAAACCAGUCUGCUGUGGUAAGUGAGGCAGAUGAGGUGGAUGCAAACCAGUCUGCUGGGUCACCUGAGAUAGACUGGGUAGAUGGUGUGGAUGUAAACCAGUCUGCUGGGUCACCUGAGAUAGACUGGGUAGAUGGUGUGGAUGUAAACCAGUCUGCUGGGUCACCUGAGAUAGACUGGGUAGAUGGUGUGGAUGUAAACCAGUCUGCCGGGUCACCUGAGAUAGACUGGGUGAAUGGAUGCAAACCAGUCUGCUGUGGUAAGUGA